rnacentral:rRNA from 1 species
GAUGAACGCUGGCGGCGUGCCUAAUACAUGCAAGUCGAGCGAACAGACGAGGAGCUUGCUCCUCUGACGUUAGCGGCGGACGGGUGAGUAACACGUGGAUAACCUACCUAUAAGACUGGGAUAACUUCGGGAAACCGGAGCUAAUACCGGAUAAUAUAUUGAACCGCAUGGUUCAAUAGUGAAAGACGGUUUUGCUGUCACUUAUAGAUGGAUCCGCGCCGCAUUAGCUAGUUGGUAAGGUAACGGCUUACCAAGGCAACGAUGCGUAGCCGACCUGAGAGGGUGAUCGGCCACACUGGAACUGAGACACGGUCCAGACUCCUACGGGAGGCAGCAGUAGGGAAUCUUCCGCAAAGGGCGAAAGCCUGACGGAGCAACGCCGCGUGAGUGAUGAAGGUCUUCGGAUCGUAAAACUCUGUUAUUAGGGAAGAACAAAUGUGUAAGUAACUAUGCACGUCUUGACGGUACCUAAGCAGAAAGCCACGGCUAACUACGU